rnacentral:rRNA from 1 species
AUUGAACGCUGGCGGCAUGCUUUACGCAUGCAAGUCGAACGGUAACAGGCCGCAAGGUGCUGACGAGUGGCGAACGGGUGAGUAAUGCAUCGGAACGUGCCCAGUCGUGGGGGAUAACGCAGCGAAAGCUGUGCUAAUACCGCAUACGAUCUAUGGAUGAAAGCGGGGGACCGUAAGGCCUCGUGCGAUUGGAGCGGCCGAUGUCAGAUUAGCUAGUUGGUGGGGUAAAGGCCCACCAAGGCGACGAUCUGUAGCUGGUCUGAGAGGACGACCAGCCACACUGGGACUGAGACACGGCCCAGACUCCUACGGGAGGCAGCAGUGGGGAAUUUUGGACAAUGGGCGCAAGCCUGAUCCAGCAAUGCCGCGUGCAGGAAGAAGGCCUUCGGGUUGUAAACUGCUUUUGUACGGAACGAAACGGUCUGGGUUAAUACCUCGGGCUAAUGACGGUACCGUAAGAAUAAGCACCGGCUAACUACGUGCCAGCCGCCGCAGUAA